rnacentral:miRNA from 1 species
GGAGCGACCUGAAAUCACAUG